GAUGAACGCUAGCUACAGGCUUAACACAUGCAAGUCGAGGGGAAACGAUAUUGGAAGCUUGCUUCCGAUAGGCGUCGACCGGCGCACGGGUGAGUAACGCGUAUCCAACCUGCCCAUCACUUGGGGAUAACCUUGCGAAAGUAAGACUAAUACCCAAUGACGUCUCUAGAAGACAUCUGAAAGAGAUUAAAGAUUUAUCGGUGAUGGAUGGGGAUGCGUCUGAUUAGCUUGUUGGCGGGGUAACGGCCCACCAAGGCGACGAUCAGUAGGGGUUCUGAGAGGAAGGUCCCCCACAUUGGAACUGAGACACGGUCCAAACUCCUACGGGAGGCAGCAGUGAGGAAUAUUGGUCAAUGGACGAGAGUCUGAACCAGCCAAGUAGCGUGCAGGAAGACGGCCCUAUGGGUUGUAAACUGCUUUAUAAGGGAAUAAAGUGAGUCUCGUGAGGCUUUUUGCAUGUACCUUAUGAAUAAGGACCGG
rnacentral:rRNA from 1 species